rnacentral:rRNA from 1 species
AGAGUUUGAUCAUGGCUCAGAUUGAACGCUGGCGGCAGGCCUAACACAUGCAAGUCGAGCGGUAGCACAGAGAGCUUGCUCUCGGGUGACGAGCGGCGGACGGGUGAGUAAUGUCUGGGAAGCUGCCUGAUGGAGGGGGAUAACUACUGGAAACGGUAGCUAAUACCGCAUAACGUCGCAAGACCAAAGUGGGGGACCUUCGGGCCUCAUGCCAUCAGAUGUGCCCAGAUGGGAUUAGCUAGUAGGUGGGGUAACGGCUCACCUAGGCGACGAUCCCUAGCUGGUCUGAGAGGAUGACCAGCCACACUGGAACUGAGACACGGUCCAGACUCCUACGGGAGGCAGCAGUGGGGAAUAUUGCACAAUGGGCGCAAGCCUGAUGCAGCCAUGCCGCGUGUGUGAAGAAGGCCUUCGGGUUGUAAAGCACUUUCAGCGGGGAGGAAGGCGUUAAGGUUAAUAACCUUGGCGAUUGACGUUACCCGCAGAAGAAGCACCGGCUAACUCCGUGCCAGCAGCCGCGGUAAUACGGAGGGUGCAAGCGUUAAUCGGAAUUACUGGGCGUAAAGCGCACGCAGGCGGUCUGUCAAGUCGGAUGUGAAAUCCCCGGGCUCAACCUGGGAACUGCAUUCGAAACUGGCAGGCUAGAGUCUUGUAGAGGGGGGUAGAAUUCCAGGUGUAGCGGUGAAAUGCGUAGAGAUCUGGAGGAAUACCGGUGGCGAAGGCGGCCCCCUGGACAAAGACUGACGCUCAGGUGCGAAAGCGUGGGGAGCAAACAGGAUUAGAUACCCUGGUAGUCCACGCCGUAAACGAUGUCGAUUUGGAGGUUGUGCCCUUGAGGCGUGGCUUCCGGAGCUAACGCGUUAAAUCGACCGCCUGGGGAGUACGGCCGCAAGGUUAAAACUCAAAUGAAUUGACGGGGGCCCGCACAAGCGGUGGAGCAUGUGGUUUAAUUCGAUGCAACGCGAAGAACCUUACCUGGUCUUGACAUCCACAGAACUUUCCAGAGAUGGAUUGGUGCCUUCGGGAACUGUGAGACAGGUGCUGCAUGGCUGUCGUCAGCUCGUGUUGUGAAAUGUUGGGUUAAGUCCCGCAACGAGCGCAACCCUUAUCCUUUGUUGCCAGCGGUUCGGCCGGGAACUCAAAGGAGACUGCCAGUGAUAAACUGGAGGAAGGUGGGGAUGACGUCAAGUCAUCAUGGCCCUUACGACCAGGGCUACACACGUGCUACAAUGGCAUAUACAAAGAGAAGCGACCUCGCGAGAGCAAGCGGACCUCAUAAAGUAUGUCGUAGUCCGGAUUGGAGUCUGCAACUCGACUCCAUGAAGUCGGAAUCGCUAGUAAUCGUAGAUCAGAAUGCUACGGUGAAUACGUUCCCGGGCCUUGUACACACCGCCCGUCACACCAUGGGAGUGGGUUGCAAAAGAAGUAGGUAGCUUAACCUUCGGGAGGGCGCUUACCACUUUGUGAUUCAUGACUGGGGUGAAGUCGUAACAAGGUAACCGUAGGGGAACCUGCGGUUG